rnacentral:lncRNA from 10 species
CAUUUUGAUGUCUAGAAUCAGGGGAUCCAGGAUCAUCACCAAGGUCAUUUUCCCAGACAGAUGUGCUGAGGCUGUAGAAAGUGCUUUUUAUUUGGUUGGGAGCUUGUGCAUAAAUGCGAGAGGGGCUGCACAUCUGACGGACUAGAGGUGACUCAUGGCUGAACCGGAACAGGACAUCGGGGAGAAGCCAGCAGAAUUCAGAACCCCAAAGAAAAUGACUUCAUUGAAAUUGAACUGAAGAGACAAGAACUGAGUUACCAAAACCUACUAAACGUGAGUUGCUGUGAACUGGGGAUUAAACCAGAACGAGUGGAGAAGAUCAGAAAGCUACCAAACACACUGCUCAGAAAGGACAAAGACAUUCGAAGACUGCGGGACUUUCAGGAAGUGGAACUCAUUUUAAUGAAAAAUGGAAGCUCCAGAUUGACAGAAUAUGUGCCAUCUCUGACAGAAAGGCCCUGCUAUGAUAGCAAAGCUGCAAAAAUGACUUAUUAAAUACUCCCAGGAAUGGCCGCGCAUGGUGGCUCACCCCCUGUAAUCCCAGCACUUUAGGAAGCCAAGGUGGGCAGAUCACCUGAGGUCAGGAGUUCUAGACCAGCCUGGCCAACAUAUAGUGAAACCCAGUCUCUACUAAAAAAAAUACAAAAAUUAGCUAGGUGUGGUGGCGCACACCUGUAGUAGUCCCAGCUACAUGGGAAGCUGAGGCAGGAGAAUCACCUGAACCCAGGAGGCAGAGGUUGCAGUGAGCUGAGAUUGCGCCACUGCACUCCAGCCUGGCGACAGAGCAAGACUCUGUCUCUCAAAAUAAAUAAAUAAAUAAAUAAUCAAUCCCAGGAAUUAAAAAACUGAAAUCAUUAUUUCACAAAUAAUGAAGUCUGGAUGCAUAUACCAGUUUGGCUAACUUCAUGUUUGAACUGUGAGAAAUUAUUAUGUUUCGUCAUCUCCAAUUUCUCUGGGCUGGGAGAAGAGUUAAGUUUAGGGUUUUGACAAAUAGCUAUAAAAAACAUCACAAGGUAUGAUACUUACACCAAGGGCAGUUUAUUUUGUAGAGUUGUGCCCUAAUCCUGAUGUAUGCUUUAUAAGAUUCAGUCAGGACAAAUGGCCAGAGUCUCUUCAGGUCAACCCACAUGGGCAGGGUGAGCUGAUGGUGCUAGGAAAGCCAGGACCCACUUGGCAACACAAGUUCUAUCAGUGUCCGCCCCCACUCCGCCUUUUUUUUUUUUUUUUUUUUUUUUGAGACAGAGUUUCACUCUGUUGCCUAUGCUGGAGUGCAAUGGCACGAUCUCAGCUCACUGCCAAGUUCAAGCGAUUCUCAUGCCUCAGCCUCCCAAGUAGCUGGAAUUACAGGCACACACCACCACGCCCAGCUAAUUUUUGUAUUUUUAGUAGAGAUGGGGUUUCACCAUGUUGCCCAGGCUGGUCUUGAACUCCUGACCUAAGGUGAUCCACCCGCCUCAGCCUCCCAAAGUACUGGGAUUACAGGUGUGAGCCACUGUGCUCAGGUCCCCCAACCCUUUUUUCUUU